AUUUGGCUUAGUUAGGGGGCGGACAUCAAUCGGAACCAAAUUAGCUUUUGGGGUCCUUUGAGAGAGGCCUCUUGAAGGGACUCUCUAGUCUCAUAUUGAUUAUCACUCAAGGAGCCUUUCACAUUU